rnacentral:rRNA from 1 species
CGCCAGACUCCUACGGGAGGCAGCAGUGGGGGAUAUUGCACAAUGGGGGGAACCCUGAUGCAGCGACGCCGCGUGGGUGAAGGAGCGUUUCGGCGCGUAAAGCCCUAUCGGCAGGGAAGAAGGAGGACGGUACCUGACUAAGAAGCCCCGGCUAACUACGUGCCAGCAGCCGCGGUAAUACGUAGGGGGCAAGCGUUAUCCGGAUUUACUGGGUGUAAAGGGAGCGUAGACGGUUGUGCAAGUCUGAAGUGAAAGCCCGCGGCUCAACUGCGGAACGGCUUUGGAAACUGUGUAACUGGAGUGCUGGAGAGGUAAGCGGAAUUCCUGGUGUAGCGGUGAAAUGCGUAGAGAUCAGGAGGAACACCGGCGGCGAAGGCGGCUUACUGGACAGUAACUGACGUUGAGGCUCGAAAGCGUGGGGAGCAAACAGGAUUAGAUACCCCCGUACU